UUUUUUCCCAAAAAUCACAAGCACGCGCAGAAGGUAGCCAAAUCCCUAGAUUCGUUCCCCACGCACGCUGCCUGGGGCUCCCGCCGGUCGAUCCCAUGCCGUCCCACCGCCGCCCCGACACCGCCCGGGGCUACCGCCGGUCGAUCUCGACGCCGUACCACCGCCGCCCCAUACCGCCAUGCCUCUACAGCGCCGCCCGACGCAGCCAUGCCUCUAAACACCGCCGUGCCUCUAUAGCACCGCUCCACGCCGUCCUGCCCCUUCAGCGCAGCCCAACGUUGUCCUGCAUCUCCACUGCCGGCCCAACGCCUUCCUGCUCUCUCUCCGGGUGGCCGCCUCUCUCCACGGCCACAUCCAGCACAGUUGCCGCCUUCCUCCCUGGCCCGACCUCCCCCAUGUCCACCACGAAAGCACACGCAGCGGUGGCGGCGAUUUGGAUCGGGGCAGCGUGCGGCUGGGCAAGGGCAUCGAUGCGGCUGAGGGAAAGGAUUACUCCGGCGGCGGGGAACGGGGAGCUCCGGCGGUGGGAAACAAGUAGAUGUUCCAGUGGACAAGGCACCUCAUGCUUUUAUUAUUCUCUGGUUCUCCGAUUUGCUGUGUACUGCUGCCAGCUAGUCUGAUUGUGAGAAGCUUUAUGGCAGCGAUAUGAACUAAUUUUAGAAGUUGAGCUGUUGUGUGCAAAUUUUGUUUAUUUCCAGUGCAAAUUUUGUGGUACCGAUAUGAACUAAUCUUUUUUUUCCAUUGGUCAUUUAGUUCACCUUUCACUAAGAGUCAUGUUUACGGUGUUACUCUUGUUAUGCUUCUGCCCAAGAUAAGUUAAUUUUUGCUCUUCCAAAAAGGUUCCCCGGAUAUGUUUCCUGUUUUGUGCUUAGUCUGCCAUGAUGUGUUUAGUCUGCCACCGUGUUUAGUGUCUCAUUGUGCUUGAUAAGAGGAUUGUUCAAAUGUAAAAACUUUCUUUUUACAUGAGAUGACAUGGCUUUUGCCCCCUGUUUUCGCUGACUUGGUUUCUGCAGGUAGCAUAGUGUAUAAUUGCUGGUAACAUUGAGUCGUCAAGGAGAAGUAGCAGGAGGAAAAAUGGCAAGCGCAAGUGGAAGCGGAAAAGCUAAAGGUGGUGGUGGUCAUGGAGGAACAUCUGAAAGCGGUAAGAGGUACAAGUUUGAUGCCGCGCUGAUUGAUGCACAACUUAUGAAAAGAUGUGACAGUAGAAUUAGUGAAGCUGACUGGAAGAACCUUAUUACUUACUGGAGAUCUUCGGUAUUUGAAGCUGUCAAACUUGUCCAUCAGCCUCGAAGAGAUCAAGUUUAUAUCGAGACAAAUACAUGCAAGAAAGGGGAUAAGAAAGGGAGUUAUGUGCCGCAGGCAGAAGCAACAAUUAAAUAUCUCGUAGAGAAAGCUGAAAAGCGCACUGAAUGGAAGGAAAAAGCAUUCAAGAAGGUGAUCUGUUUGCACAUGUAUGUGGAAUGAAGGAGCCAAGGGGUCGUGUUCGUACUUCUGUAUGCAUGGACUGGUCAUGAAACUCCUGUUGCUCAGGCAACAAUUUCCAAAUUUGACCCGCAUUUGGUCAGGCAAGAUAGUGCUAGCUUAAUUUAUGAAUAAUGGAAAAAUAUACUGAGGCUGUGAAGAAGGCUGCCAUCGAGACAAAGAGCGAGCACCCCAAGGAUUAAUGCGUGGCAUAGAAGGUUAUCAAAAGAACUAUGUCUUUUUGUUAAUUAAUUUCCUAGAUAAGUACACUCGCACAUGCAUCUUUGCGACAAAAUAAAAACUAAACUACUCUCUCUCUCUCUCUCUCUCUCUCUCUCUAAUGUUAUCAAAAGUACUAAUUGUGAACUUCAUCUCUAUUUUCUCCAAAAACUCUGUUUGGUAUCCCUUUCACUAUAAGUUUAUUACUUUGUGAUUAGAGAAAUUAAGAUGUAUAUGUGCAUACUGUAAGAACAUGAUCAGUGGUGUACAGAUCCUAUGAAGUGAAAUACCCAACGCAGUUUAUACUCAACGCAGUUUAUGUGUACAGAUCCUGUGUGCAUAUUUUCGUUUUUCCUAGAUUUAUAGAAAAAUAGCAUAUGCGGCAUAAGCAAAAACUGUUUGUGAUGUAAACUAUGGUCUAACGAUUUAAGAUCGUCAUAGUUAUUCCCAACUAAUAAUCUCAAACACAAAAAAGGUACCCCGUGUGUAUGCACGGGUCGAUGAAAAUGUCACACAAUUGAUUCUAUGCUGUAUCACCCAAUGUAUAGCAGCUUCCUUGACUUUAUUUUGUUCUCAUCGAGUGGCAUGGUAUUCUGCCAUGUUCCCCUGUCUAUGCAUACUUGGCCCUUGGCCGGUGCUUCUCCUGUUGAGCGCCGAGGGGGAGAUUAAAUAAGAACAGCAGCAGAACAACAUCGGCGUUGAAAAAGAGCAUCAGGGAGAUUAUUAUGCAUGGCAACUUAAUACACUUCUAUAACUAUGUAAUUUCGAUAUUUAUUGUACUGAAGCUCCACUAUAACAACCAGUGCACUAAAUAACAACAACUUUUGUAAUCCAUGUGCAGUUCUAGGUUCUGGCUUUGUAGUGUGCAUCAUCUAGUUGAAAAAUGAAAUGAUGUGAAACUAUGUUCGAUCUUGCUGGUUUGCUGCUUGUCAACCUUGCUAUGCUGCUGUCUGCUGAAUUCUGGGUGUACGUCGAUGCAAAUGAACAUGGAAACGACUUCAGCUUCACAUUUUUUUACUAAGCCUCAUGAUGCUAAUGGUAGUUGGUUUCUAUACUCUGCAAGCCUCAUGAUGCUAAUUGAAAUAUCCUUUAUCAUGUUGCAGAUGCUAAGCAAAUGCUUUUGAUGCUACCUGUUCUUAUUCAGCUGCUAACUUUUCUUAAUCAUCUGAUUUCUUCUUUCAUUCAUGUAGGAAUGGCUAAAGAUACACGCGCUUUUAAAAUUUCUAGAAGGGUACCCCUUUUCCUGUCAGUGGUAAUGAAUUCUCUUGAGUUGCUUUGAUGUUCAAGCUAGAGAAUGUUCUCCAAUGAGAUGAAGGAUGAAGGCUUUGAUAUCAAGUGCGAGAACGAUGCAACGAUCUUGCUGGAAGGCUGUGAGGAUGGGUAUGUAGUUGCCCACUACAAGGAGCCAAGGUAGAUGAUGUAUUGCAGAAAACAAAGCGACAAACUUUUGCUCUCAGACAGUGAACUAUCAUGUUUCCUCUAUUUAAUUAGUUACAUUAGUUUAUUUAUAGGAAACUUGGCUGGCCAUUCGUUCAUAACUAUUGAACUAUUUAUAUGUGAAAAUUAAUGAAUGUGUGUGACUAUUGUUUGGUUCUGGUUUAAUAUUGUUGGAUGAUGCAUGUUAU